GAGACACCCCUAUGGAGCAGGACUUGCUUCAGUGGGACUUUGGUGCUCUGAGUCUGCCCCUUGAGUGUGUUGCU
rnacentral:pre_miRNA from 1 species